GAGCAAGACCGCGUGGGGGAGGAAGGCCCUUGGGUUGUCAACCCCUUUUCUCAGGGAAGAAGAAAGUGACGGUACCUGAGGAAUCAGCCUCGGCUAACUCCGUGCCAGCAGCCGCGGUAAUACGGAGGAGGCAAGCGUUAUCCGGAAUUAUUGGGCGUAAAGCGUCCGCAGGUGGCUAGGCAAGUCUGCCGUUAAAGACCGGAGCUCAACUCCGGGCGGGCGGUGGAAACUGCCGUUGCUAGAGGCCGGUAGGGGUAGCGGGAAUUCCCAGUGUAGCGGUGAAAUGCGUAGAGAUUGGGAAGAACAUCGGUGGCGAAAGCGCGCUACUGGGCCGGACCUGACACUCAGGGACGAAAGCUAGGGGAGCGAAAGGGAUUAGAUACCCCUGUAGUCCUAGCCGUAAACGAUGGAGACUAGGCGUGGCUCGUCUCGACCCGAGCCGUGCCGAAGCUAACGCGUUAAGUCUCCCGCCUGGGAGUACGCACGCAAGUGUGAAACUCAAAGGAAUUGACGGGGGCCCGCACAAGCGGUGGAGUAUGUGGUUUAAUUCGAUGCAACGCGAAGAACCUUACCAGGGCUUGACAUGUCGCGAACCCCGGUGAAAGCUGGGGGUGCCUUCGGGAGCGCGAACACAGGUGGUGCAUGGCUGUCGUCAGCUCGUGUCGUGAGAUGUUGGGUUAAGUCCCGCAACGAGCGCAACCCUCGUCCUUAGUUGCCAGCAUUAAGUUGGGCACUCUAGGGAGACUGCCGGUGACAAACCGGAGGAAGGUGGGGAUGACGUCAAGUCAGCAUGCCCCCUUACGCCCUGGGCGACACACGUACUACAAUGGUGGGGACAAAGGGCAGCCAACUCGCGAGAGUGAGCGAAUCUCAGCAAACCCCGCCUCAGUUCAGAUAGCAGGCUGCAACUCGCCUGCUUGAAGGAGGAAUCGCUAGUAAUCGCCGGUCAGCAUACGGCGGUGAAUACGUUCCCGGGCCUUGUACACACCGCCCGUCACACCAUGGAAGCUGGCCACGCCCGAAGUCGUUACUCUAACCUGCAAAGGAGGAAGGCGCCGAAGGUAGGGCUAGUGACUGGGGUGAAGUCGUAACAAGGUAGCCGUACCGGAAGGUGU
rnacentral:rRNA from 1 species